rnacentral:rRNA from 1 species
UGGGGAAUUUUGGACAAUGGGCGAAAGCCUGAUCCAGCAAUGCCGCGUGUGUGAAGAAGGCCUUCGGGUUGUAAAGCACUUUUGUCCGGAAAGAAAUCCUUGGCUCUAAUACAGUCGGGGGAUGACGGUACCGGAAGAAUAAGCACCGGCUAACUACGUGCCAGCAGCCGCGGUAAUACGUAGGGUGCAAGCGUUAAUCGGAAUUACUGGGCGUAAAGCGUGCGCAGGCGGUUUGCUAAGACCGAUGUGAAAUCCCCGGGCUCAACCUGGGAACUGCAUUGGUGACUGGCAGGCUAGAGUAUGGCAGAGGGGGGUAGAAUUCCACGUGUAGCAGUGAAAUGCGUAGAGAUGUGGAGGAAUACCGAUGGCGAAGGCAGCCCCUGGCAAUACUGACGCUCAUGCACGAAAGCGUGGGGAGCAAACAGGAUUAGAUACCCUGGUAGUCCACGCCCUAAAACGAUGUCAACUAGUUGUUGGGGAUUCAUUUCCUUAGUAACGUAGCUAACGCGUGAAGUUGACCGCCUGGGGAGUACGGUCGCAAGAUUAAAACUCAAAGGAAUUGACGGGGUCAUAGCUGUUUCCU